rnacentral:rRNA from 1 species
GAUGAACGCUGGCGGCGUGCCUAAUACAUGCAAGUCGAGCGAACGGACGAGAAGCUUGCUUCUCUGAUGUUAGCGGCGGACGGGUGAGUAACACGUGGAUAACCUACCUAUAAGACUGGGAUCACUUCGGGACACCGGAGCUAAUACCGGAUAAUAUUUUGAACCGCAUGGUUCAAUAGUGAAAGACGGUCUUGCUGUCACUUAUAGAUGGAUCCGCGCUGCAUUAGCUAGUUGGUAAGGUAACGGCUUACCAAGGCAACGAUGCAUAGCCGACCUGAGAGAGUGGUCGGCGACACUGGAGCUGGGACACGGUCCAGACGCCUGCGGGAGGCAGCAGUAGGGAAUCUUCCGCAAUGGUCGAAAGCCUGACGGAGCAACGCCGCGUGAGUGAUGAAGGUCUUCGGAUCGUAAAACUCUGUUAUUAGGGAAGAACAUAUGUGUAAGUAACUGUGCACAUCUUGACGGUACCGAAUCAGAAAGCCACGGCUAACUACGUG